rnacentral:lncRNA from 1 species
GAUUUAUUAAGGUGGUACCUAACACUACAGGGAGAUAACUCUGUAAAAUCAGCUAAACGUUUUAAUUAUGUUGUGUUGUAAAGGGAAUAUUAAGCUUCUCAAUGAUCAAAAUUGUUGUUUGUCAAACUACUACUGUGGAUUCAUUAUUAUUCGUUGGAUACCAAUUUUCGUGGAAUUCGUGGGCACAGUUAAACCACGAAAUUAAAUAUUCAACGAAUGAUAAUUUUUCUAUAGGUUUGUAUGCAGACUUCAGCAAAACCACGAAAUUUAAUAUCCACGAAUAUGUAAUUUUUUCUUUAUCCACGAAAAUUGGUACCCACGAAAAUAAAUGAAUCCACAGUAUAUAACCAGUGUAAUUUUUCUGACAAAAUGGUUGGUUCAAAAUAUUUGAAAUUUUUAUAUACUUGUUAAAGGGUCAAAGUAAAUACUUUGUCAAAAUUUUAUGAAAAUUAAACGAGCC